CCGCCAGCAGAGGAGCACGAGCACUUAACCACUAAGCCACGGGGCCGGCCCCUGGACUCCAAUUCUUGAUGGAAGCAUGACAAGAUCACAUUGCAGAUGAUCUAACAGAAGAGCCUGGACCUCAUGAAAAUGAAAUACAAGGAGCACUGGAGGGAAGGAGGAAGAGGAAGUGGGGAACCAAAGCCUCAGAGAGGGGAUGCAAAGGUGUAAAAGAAAGCCUCGGGCCUCCCUUAAUUACAAGGGAAAUUUACCAGCAUUGAUUUUCAUGUAGUUUUCCUAAAGCCUUUCCCCUUCUGGUUCUCCCAGCUCUUGGAUUGGGAGCACUAGUAUGGAUCGGGGGAGAGAGAGUCUCAGAAAUAUGUCGACUCUUUAUAGUUGAAGUACACAGUCCUGUUCCUUAGAGAUAUUGUAGGUAUAUCAUUGAAUGCGUCAUGAUGUUAAGAUUUGUAGUGCAAUGAAAGGAAUGCACACUCCAUUCCUGUCUUUACUGCCUUAAAAAUGUCUGAAGAGGAAACUGUAUCAAACAGCAAGCCUUUGUCCUCUAUACUUUAGCUUCCAGAAUUGAUGGAAGUGGAUGAUCCAGGCGCUUGCUCUCCACAGCCUAACUCACAGCAACUCAAAGUCUCUUGUGCCUUUUGCCCUUGGUGUACUCGUGAUUCUCCCGUCAACUGCAGAGUCUAUAUUUCAAAAGUAAGGAAACUGAGACCCUGAGAUAUGAGAUAACUUUCCCAAGACCGUAUAACUGUAUGGCUGAUUUUCAGAGGACUCUCCAUUCUCGGUUUUCUUAGAAUGGAGAACUUCUUAGAACUGUGAACUGUUGCUCUUCUUUAAGCGUCUGGGGAGAGAGUUUCUCUUAACUUGACCUUGCUGCUGACCUGGACACCUAGCUCAAGCCCUAAACUCUUGGUGAUGCCAGUGGGUCUGCGCAGUAUUGUAUUCAUAGCACCAAGGGUCCCCAAGAUGAACUGCACUUCAGAGUGAAGAGUUCAGCAGUAUAGUCUGAGCGGCAGAGGUGAUCUGAGAGUUUUCUGGCCCCCUCCCACCCAAUGCACCAUGAAGAUGGGGACCUAUAGUGUGGAAGAAUCCAACUUAUGGUAGCAAGAUGCUCAUGGAUAUUUCUGCUGCCAGGAGAGUAGAUCCCCUCUCAGUCUAUUUUAGAUUGUGCUUUGGCUAUUUGUGCUAUCAUUAACACUCUCACCCUUCCUAAUUUUUUUUCCUUUUCACCUUAGAUCUUUAGUGUUUCCACAGUGGAAAGGCUGUGAAACUCGACGGGACUGGGAAAUUCCAUUCCUUAGAGAAUGCAGAGCACAAGAAGGCUGGAGACCUGGACCAGGUGAUCUUCUCUAAGGUCAGCAAGACUGCUGCUCUGUUUGCACUUCAUCGUCUCGUACUGAAGUCAGGAAAGCGUCCCCAGGCUG